rnacentral:lncRNA from 1 species
CUUGAACCCAGGAGGUGGAGGUUGCAGUGAGCCAAUAUCACGCCACUGCACUCCAGCCUGGGUGACAGGGCGAGACUUUGUCUCAAAAAAAAUAAAAAUAAAUUAAAAAAAAAUUGUAAAAACAUUCCAACAAAAUUUUUGCAUUUAAUCUGAACACACACACACACACAUGCACACACACACACACACAGAUAUUGUAGGUUUAGUUUCCAGAUCACCACAAUAAAUUGAAUAUUGCAAUAAAGUGAGGCACAUGAAUUUUUUUAUUUCCCAUUGCAUAUAAAAGUUAUGCUUGCACUACACUGCAGCCUAUUAAGUGUGCAAUAGCAUUAUGUCUAAAAAUAAUGCAUACAUUGUUUACAAAUAUCUUAUUGCUAAAAAAUGCUAACAAUCAUCUGAGCCUUCAGUGAGUCAUAGUCAUUUUGCUGGUGGAGGGUCUUGCCUCAAUACUGAUGGCUGCUGACUGAUCAGGGUGGUGGUUGCUGAAGGUUGGAAUGGUGGUGACAACUUCUUAAAAUAAGACAGUAAUAAAGUUUGCCACCCUCAUUGACUCUUUCUUCACAGAAAAUUUCUAUGUUAUUUGCAAUGCUGUUUGAUAGCAUUUUACCCACAGUAGAACUUCUCACAAAACUGGAGUCAAUCCUCUCAAAUCCAGCUACUGCUUUUUCAACUGAGUUUAUAUAAUAUUUUGAGUCCUUUGCUGUCAUCUCAACAGUGUUCACAGCAUCUUUGCCAGGAGUAGAUUCCAUUUCAAGAAACCACUUUCUUUGUUCAUUUACAAGAAGUAACUCCUCAUCCUUCAAAUUUGAUCAUGAGAUUAAAACAAUUCAGUCUCAUCUUCCGGCUCCAUUUCUCAUUCUGGUUCUCUUGUUAUUUCUUUCACAUCUGCAGUUACUUCCUCCACUGAAGUCUUGAACCCCUAAAAGGCAUCCAUGAGUACUGGAAUUAACUUCAUCUAAACUUCUGUUAAUGUUGAUAUUUUGAUAUUCUCCACGAAUCAUGAAUUUCUUUUUAAUAAACAAAUCUCUAUGCUACUAGGUACAAUAGCAUGGAAAUUGAGAGAACACCAAAGCGAGAAGAAAACUGGGAUAAAACUUAUGCAUCUGCAGAAGAGAAGAAACAGGAAAGCACGCCUCAUUGACAUGGGGAAAAAAGCAGCAAGCAGAAACUAUCUGUGAGGGAUCUCAGAUGUUGGACUUAGUACACAAAGAGUUCAAAGCAUCCAUUAUAAAUAUAUAGAACUAAAGCAAAGUGUAUUUUUAACAAUUAAAAGUAAGUAUAAUGACAAUUACUUAUUAAAUAGAGAACAUUAGUGUAAACAUAGAAAGUAUAAUUACUAUUACAUAUGUGUACAUAUAUGAACACAUAUAUGAAUCCAAUGGAAAUUCAGUACAAUCAUUUAAAUGAAAAAGACACUAGAGGAGCUCAACAGCAGAUAUGAACCAUCAAAAAACAACAACAAAAACACACUGAACUUGAAGCUAGAUGAAUAGAGACUGUCGAGUCUGAAGAACAGAAAGAAAAUUUAAGAAAAUAAGCAGAGCUUUAGAGAUCUGUUGGAACAAUUAACAUAUUGAUAAAUACACAGUGGGAAUCUUAGAAAGAGAAGAAAGGAGGCCGGGCGCGGUGGCUCACGCCUGUUAUCCCAACACUUUGGGAGGCCGAGGCGGGCGGAUCACGAGGUCAGGAGAUCGAGACCAUCCUGGUUAACACGGUGAAGCCCCGUCUCUACUAAAAAUACAAAAAAUUAGCUGGGUGUGGCGGCGGGCACCUGCAGUCCCAGCUACUCAGGAGGCUGAGGCAGGAGAAUGGCGUGAACCCGGGAGGCAGAGCUUUCAGUGAGCCAAGAUCACGCCACUGCACUCCAGCCUGGGCGACACAGCGAGACUCCGUCUCAAAAAAAAAAAAAAAGCAAAAAAAAAAAAAGAGAAGAAAGGAGAAAGAAGGAAGGAAAGACAGACAGAGAAAUAAAACAAAUAGUUUUUUUAAAAGCUAAAACACUUCCUAAAUGUGAAGAAAAGCAUUAAUCUACACUUGUAAAAAGCUCAAGAGACUCCAAGUAGAAUAAUAGUCAGAGUCAAACAUUUCAAAUCUAAAGAUUAAGAAACAAUUCGGAAAGCACAAGAACAAGGCAACUGAAUAUGUACAAGAGAAUCAUAAUAAGAUUAAUAGGUGACUUCUCUUGAGAAACAAUGAGGAAAAUAGAAUGACAUAUUGAAGAGAAUGACCUAUUAAAAGAGCUGACAGGAAAAAACUGUCAAUCAAGAUUAUUGUAUUCAAUAAAACUAUCCUUUGAUGAUGAAUAGAAAUAAAGUUAUUUCCAGGUAAACAAAGAGUGCAUUGCUAACAGAUCUGUCUUAUAAGAAAUGCUAAAGAAAGACCUUCAAGUCAAAGGAAAUACAAGAGGGUAACUUGAGUCCACACAAAGAAUUACAUUUCACAGAUAAAGGACAGCAAUUCCUGGUAUCUUAAUAAGUACAAUGGGAUGGCUACACCCUGCUUAAUGGAUAUGAGCUUUAGAGAAUAAUGUCAUUUCUGAACACCUAACAAAUUUCACAAUUAAGAA